rnacentral:tRNA from 1 species
UCCCUGGUGGCUUAGAGGGUAAAGCAUCUGCUUGCAAUGCAGAAGACCCAGGUUUGAUCCCUGGGUCGGGAA